CUCCCUGUCGCUUAAGAAGAACUCACUGAGGCAGCCUGCCAUCUAGCUUUUUCACAGCAAAAUAGGCUUGCAGACUGCAGAUGAGAGACUCGGGAGCAGAGACAAUUUUAACUUAGCCAUCCCUAAUUUAUCUCAAGCUUUUUCAAUUCAUCUUCACUGCUCUACGCACACUGGAACACCAGAUUGUCAACCCCUGGGAAAAGAAAGCAGCCAGGGAUCUAGAGAGCUGUCACAUCCUGAGAAAUAUUUAAAUUGUGCUGAUUUUCUUCUGGAGUGCUGAGCAGAGGGAAUGAAACUCUCCAUCAAGUCAUAGCUUUGCGGGCAAUAGAUCAGAGGAUACUGCCAGUUUUUCUAAUGGAUUAUUGUUAUCGGGCAGGUUCUUCCUGAAGAUUCUUUUAAGUGAAGCAGCCGUAUCUUGGAUUUCAUUGUGUAACCUUAAAACUUAGUGUCAAGCCCUUCCGAUAGCUACUAGAUUUGGCAAGGUUAAAAGGGUUGUGGGACACUGAAGCAGAUUGCCCAGAGGAGUUGUACAUGCCCCAUCCCUGGAAGUGUUCAAGGUCAAGAUGGAGAAGCUUUAAGCAAUAUGAUCUAGUGAAAGAUGUCUCUGCCCAUGGCAGGAAUUUGCAUUGUGGCUUUUUAAAUCAGACAGCUAACCUGUUCCUUGACCUGAUAAGAGUACUUCUGGACAUUGUGACAGGUAAUUCAAAUUCACAUUAUUGCUACCACUGAUGAUAAAUAAUCAAAGACAUAACAAACUUCUUAGCUUUAAACUCAACCACUAUAACACUGCAAAUUUCUUUAAUAACAAAUAUACACAUUAUGAGGUUCUGAUUUAAUUAAGCAUCAUGCUUAAGUAAAUUAGUGUUCAGUAAAACACAUUUGUAUAUGAAUUAAGUGAUCUUGGUAUAAGCAAUACACUAUUUUAUUAAUAUUUGAAAUUAAUUGUUUGAAACUGACAUAGGUUUUCCUAAACACAGACUACUUAUUAUUUAUGCAUUUUUACAAUUGUUCCCAACAUAUGAGGUUUUCCAAUAUUUAUGUUAUAACAGAUAAUUUCAUAUUCCUUACUUGUAUUAGGUUUCAGAGAGCAUGUAAAUGUUUUAAAUAAUUUUUUUAAGAUUCUUAUUAGUUUUUCAGAAGUAAUGGUAACGAAUUAGAUAAUUUUUUUGAGAUAUGAGCUCUCAUCUCAGUCUUGUGCUCAAUAAAUUUGUUUCUGUAUGGCAGCUUCUCCCCCUGAAAGAAUCUCUUUUUACUGUCCUGCUGUUACGUUCUUGACCUUUGCCAUGACCACAGCCCUGAGGCAUUUGAGCUGUCAGAUAAAAGAGUGGAAAGAGGCUGGUGAAAGUUGUAGAAUGCAGAAAGCUUUGUAAUGCACUGAUGAAUUUCCUGCCAAAACUUCAGCUCCACUGCUGUCACAUUUCCUUAAAUAAUAGGGGGAUUUUUCCUCUAAUGGACAAUGAAGGCCGUUUGCCUAAUGAGAGCUUGCAGAGGCAGCCUGCCAUGUGUCUCUAAGGUGAAACAAUCUUGCCUGGCUACAGACAAGUGGAUAAGAAGCAGUCAUAUUCAAAUGUUCCUGUCAGUAAUUAAUCUGUUUGGGCUUCCCCCCCCCAACCCCCCAGUAUUCAUAUAUACUGUUCUACGUGCAGUAGGGCAUUAAAUUGCUUUCCACUGGGAGUAGGUCAUAUUCAGGGGUCAUCAAAACCAUAUUCCUGGGUGGAACGUGCUUGAUUCAGACAGGCUGUUUCUAUCAAGAACUUGGUGUCUGAAAUUUCCAGCUAUACGGGAGAUUUUACAACAGAUUAUCUUUUCUAACAUUAUUCUGGAAAAGUUGAAUUUUAUUUAAUAUCUUGUAGAUAGAUAAAAGUCAUGCAAUGGAUAGUUUAAUUCUACCUCUGAUGUAGCCACUGAGUGGCCACUAAUUGCUCUGUCAAGAUUCCUAAUGAAUUUUUCAGUAUCUGCUAGCAAAGCUUUUUGUAGCAAUUACUAACAUAUUAAAGAUAGACUCAAUUUCUUGCUUUUUCACUAGGUCUUCUUUUUAGGGCCAGGGGGGUGUGCUACAGAAUAAGAGAGACAAAUCUACUCCUGUUGGUGCAGACUUAUUCAAGCCUAAGUCUGUUCUAAAAACUUCCUGAAGUCCUGAUCCCUGGAAGUGAAUAAUCUUUUAAUUUGAAAAUAAUGAAUUUUUUCCUAAAAGUAAAUCAGCAUGUUUUCAAUGGGAAAAGGUUACAUUGACUCAAAAUACAUUUUUUUGUAGCAAAUUACUCUUUUCUCCUACUGUGGGCAUUAGAAAGAUGCCUUAUUUUACUUCCAUUUCCCAACUUAUGAUAUGAAAUUAAUGCAAUAAAGGACAAGUGAAAUAUAAUAGAAGAUAAAUAUUUUGGGGGGGUUGAUUGAGUUUUUUGGGGUUUUUUUGGUUUUGUAUUUUUUGGGUUUUUUUGUAAUUGCAGUCUUUGUAACUGCAAAAUAUG